CUCCACAACCCAAUCGUUCCGCCUCCUCACGCGCUAUCAAGCCUCGACGGAUCUACAUCCUCGCGGCGGAGAGAGUGCGGCGUCGGAGCUGGCAGUCGAUUUCCACCGUGUGGAGCAAAUCGAACAGGAGAUUGCGAGCAUUCAGCAACGGAUGCUGGGGAAAACGUGGACACGCAGUGGAAGCCGCAGGGGUUUCGGGGAGGAUGAGGAAACACAAGAGCAGGCAACUGUAUCUACUGUGAUAAUUUGAUAUCUAUGGGGUAUAGAGGGGUGGAGAAACCUAAGGAAGGUGAGGAUGUGUCUCUCGACACGAUGGAGGGCCUACGGACGGAGUAGGCGGGAUGGAUGCAUGGCGUUGUCCGGAUAUUAGAAGUGGUGAGCUUAUGUUCCUCAUGGGAAGGGUUUUUGUUUUGGUGAGGUCAAGGGUUUUUGAUCGGGAUUUUCUUUGUUAUACUUUGUGAGAGAUGUUGGCUUUUAUUUUCGAUAAAAUAGAACGUUUGAUUUGGUAUCAUGUCAUAAGUAUAUGCUUGGUUUUUGUUU